rnacentral:rRNA from 1 species
UACGUAGGGUGCGAGCGUUAAUCGGAAUUCUGGGCGUAAAGCGUGCGCAGGCGGUUUUGUAAGCCGGAUGUGAAAUCCCCGGGCUUAACCUGGGAAUGGCAUUCGGGACUGCAAGGCUGGAGUGCGGCAGAGGAGACUGGAAUUCCUGGUGUAGCAGUGAAAUGCGUAGAUAUCAGGAGGAACACCGAUGGCGAAGGCAGGUCUCUGGGCUGACACUGACGCUCAUGCACGAAAGC